ACGGAAGGCAGCAGUGGGGAAUAUUGCACAAUGGGGGAAACCCUGAUGCAGCAACGCCGCGUGAGUGAAGAAGUAUUUCGGUAUGUAAAGCUCUAUCAGCAGGGAAGAUAAUGACGGUACCUGACUAAGAAGCUCCGGCUAAAUACGUGCCAGCAGCCGCGGUAAUACGUAUGGAGCAAGCGUUAUCCGGAUUUACUGGGUGUAAAGGGUGCGUAGGUGGCAGUGCAAGUCAGAUGUGAAAGGCCGGGGCUCAACCCCGGAGCUGCAUUUGAAACUGCUCGGCUAGAGUACAGGAGAGGCAGGCGGAAUUCCUAGUGUAGCGGUGAAAUGCGUAGAUAUUAGGAGGAACACCAGUGGCGAAGGCGGCCUGCUGGACUGUUGCUGACGCUGAGGCACGAAAGCGUGGGGAGCAAACAGGAUUAGAUACCCUGGUA
rnacentral:rRNA from 1 species